GUGCUCACUUCAGCAGCACAUAAACCAAAGUUGGACCCAUACAGAGAAGAUUAUCGUGGCCCCUGCACAAAGAUAGCAUGCAGAUUCUUGAGGCAUUCAGUAUUUUG
ensembl:snRNA U6 U6 spliceosomal RNA